rnacentral:rRNA from 1 species
GUGGGGAAUCUUAGACAAUGGGCGCAAGCCUGAUCUAGCCAUGCCGCGUGAGCGAUGAAGGCCUUAGGGUUGUAAAGCUCUUUCAGGGGGGAAGAUAAUGACGGUACCCCCAGAAGAAGCCCCGGCUAACUCCGUUCCAGCAGCCGCGGUAAUACGGAGGGGGCUAGCGUUGUUCGGAAUUACUGGGCGUAAAGCGCACGUAGGCGGACCAGAAAGCCAGGGGUGAAAUCCCGGGGCUCAACCCCGGAACUGCCUUUGAAACUCCUGGUCUUGAGGUAGAGAGAGGUGAGUGGAAUUCCGAGUGUAGAGGUGAAAUUCGUAGAUAUUCGGAGGAACACCAGUGGCGAAGGCGGCUCACUGGCUCGAUACUGACGCUGAGGUGCGAAAGCGUGGGGAGCAAACAGGAUUAGAUACCCGGGUAGUCC